rnacentral:rRNA from 1 species
GGUACACGCUGUGACUAGCAUAUCAAUAAGCGGAGGAAAAGAAACUAACAAGGAUUCCCCUAGUAACGGCGAGUGAAGCGGGAAGAGCUCAAAUUUGAAAUCUUAAAGGGUUUCCCUUUACGAAUUGUAGUUUAAAGAAGUGUUUUCUGUUGAGGUUUUGGUAAAAGUUCUUUGGAAUAGGACAUCAUAGAGGGUGAGAAUCCCGUAUUUGACCUUUACUUUCAACUUUGUGAUACACUUUCAAAGAGUCGGAUUGUUUGGGAAUGCAGUCCAAAAUGGGUGGUAAAUUUCAUCUAAAGCUAAAUAUUGGCGAGAGACCGAUAGCGAACAAGGUACCGUGAGGGAAAGAUGAAAAGAACUUUGAAAAGAGAGUUAAACAGUACGUGAAAUUGUCAAAAGGGAAGCGUUUGACACCAGUGUUGUUUUUCUGAAAAUCAAUUAAAGAACUGUUUAUGCUAAGUUGUUUAGACUUUAUCAGCUAACUGUUUAGUUUUGAGCUUUUCUUUAAUGCACUUUUCAGUUAACAAGUCAACAUCAAUUUCUUUUGCUGUAAAAAGCUUGAGGAAGGUGGCUUGAGAUUCGUCUUAAGUGUUUAUAGCCUCUUGCCUAUGCAGUCGGAGAGAUUGAGGUCUGCAGCGUAGAUCCUUCGGGGCUAAAUGCAUUUGUGCUAAGUUAUAGCAUUUUAUAGACAACUUGUUGACUAUGAUUUGUCUUGUAGCUUACUCGCUUAUGUUAUUUUACCUACGCUUAGGAUGUUGACGCGCGUGUGUGCGUG